rfam:Arabidopsis thaliana chromosome 3, complete sequence.
AGAUGUGAUCAUACCAGCACUAAUGCACCGGAUCCCAUCAGAACUCCGAAGUUAAGCGUGAUUGGGCGAGAGUAGUACUAAGAUGGGUGACCUCGAGGAAUGUCCUCGUGUUGCAUGCC